UUAACUUCUAAUUGCAGCCAAUCAGAUGGUGAUUCUGGGUCAGCAUCAGCUUCGGGAUCUGGUUCAAGCUCUGGAAGCAUUAGUGAUGAAAGUAGCAGUCAAUCAGGUAGCAGUGACUCUGAGUCUGGUUCAGAGUCAGGCAGUCAAUCAGAAUCAAAGUCUGACGCAUCUAGGGAGAAGAAACAAGUUCAAGCUAAACCACUACCAAAAGCUGAUGGAUCUGAGAUUUGGAAGUCCAGUCCAAGUAUACUUGCUGUGCAGAGAUCAGCAGGGCUCAAGAAGCAACAUCAGAAGGCAGCCUCAUCAGACAGUGGUUCAGAAGAGGUUUCAUCGAGCAGCGAAGAUUCUGCAGAUGACUCUUCCAGUGAAACCAAGAAGAAAAACCAUAGAGAGUAAGAUGUUUUUCAUGAAUAAUAUAAUUUUUUGUUAUGGCAACAUAA